CUUGGUUGUUUUCUGAGACAGAAAAGAAUCUCAUUUUCUGUCUCAGAAAACAACCAAGGA
ensembl:miRNA Mir5615-1 microRNA 5615-1